GGACUACUGGGGUUUCUAAUCCUGUUCGCUCCCCACGCUUUCGCGUCUCAGCGUCAGUACCGUCCCAGAGAGCCGCCUUCGCCACGGGUGUUCUUCCCGAUAUCUGCGCAUUUCACCGCUACACCGGGAAUUCCACUCUCCUCUUCCGGACUCUAGCUUUACGGUUUCCACCGACAGCUCGAGGUUGAGCCUCGAGUUUUCACAGCGGACCUGUAAAGCCGCCUACACGCUCUUUACGCCCAAUAAAUCCGGACAACGCUUGCCCCCUACGUAUUACCGCGGCUGCUGGCAC
rnacentral:rRNA from 1 species